UACGUAGGGUGCGAGCGUUAAUCGGAAUUACUGGGCGUAAAGGGCGCGUAGGCGGCCUGGUAAGCGUGCGGUGAAAGCCCGGGGCUCAACCCCCGGGUCGGCCGUGCGAACUGCGAGGCUGGAGCACUGUAGAGGCAGGUGGAAUUCCGGGUGUAGCGGUGGAAUGCGUAGAGAUCCGGAAGAACACCGGUGGCGAAGGCGGCCUGCUGGGCAGUGGCUGACGCUGAGGCGCGACAGCGUGGGGGAGCAAACAGG
rnacentral:rRNA from 1 species